rnacentral:rRNA from 1 species
GACAGAGGGUGCAAACGUUGUUCGGAAUUACUGGGCGUAAAGCGCGUGUAGGCUGCUUCGCAAGUCGGGUGUGAAAGCCCUGGGCUCAACCUAGGAAGUGCACUCGAAACUGCGAAGCUUGAGUUCUGGAGAGGAAGGCGGAAUUCGUCGGUGUAGAGGUGAAAUUCGUAGAUAUCGAGAGGAACACCGGUGGCGAAGGCGGCCUUCUGGACAGUGACUGACGCUGAGACGCGAAAGCGUGGGGAGCAAACAGG